GCAGUCGAACGGCAGCAUGAUCUCGCUUGCUACAUUGAUGGCUAGUGGCGAACAGUUGAGUAAUACAUCCGAACGUGCCCUGUAGUGCGGGAUAACUAGUCGAAUGAUUACCUAAUACCGCAUACGACCUGAGGGUGAAAGUGGGGGACCGCGAGGCCUCAUGCUGUGGGAUCGGCCGAUGUCUGAUUAGCUAGUUGGUGAGGUACAGGCUCACCAAUGCGACGAUCAGUAGCUGGUCUGAGAGGACGAUCCGCCACAGUGGGACUGAUACACGGCCCAGACUCCUGCGGGAGGCAGCAUUGGGGAAUUUUGGACAAUGGGGGCAACCCUGAUCCAGCAAUGCCGCGUGUGUGACGAAGGCCUUCGGGUUGUAAAGCACUUUUGUCCGGAAGGAAAUCGCACUUACUNAUAUUAGGUGUGGAUGACGGUACCNGAAGAAUNAGGACCGGNUNANUACNUGCCAGCAGCCGCNGUAAUACNUAGGGUCCANGCNUUAAUCGGAAUUACUGGGCGUAAAGCGUGCNCAGGCGGUUGUGCAAGACNGAUGUGAAAUCCCNGGGCUUAACCUGGGAAUUGCAUUGGUGACUGCACGGCUAGAGUGUGUCANAGGGGGGUAGAAUUCCACGUGUAGCNNUGAAAUGCGUAGAGAUGUGNANGANUACCGAUGGNGAANGCAGCCCCCUGGGAUANCACUGACGCUCAUGCNCGAAAGCGUGNGGAGCAAACAGGAUUAGAUACNCUGGUAGUCNACGCCCUAAACGAUGUCAACUAGUUGUUGGGGAUUCAUUUCNUUAGUAAGGUAGCUAACGCGUGAAUGUUGACCGCCUGGGGAGUACGGUCGCAAGAUUAUAACUCAAAGGAAUUGACGGGGACCCGCACAAGCGGUGGAUGAUGUGGAUUAAUUCGAUGCAACGAGAAAAACCUUACCUACCCUUGACAUGCCACUAUCGAAGCAGAGAUGCAUUACGUGCUCGAAAGAGAAAGUACACACAGGUCAUGCAUGUCUUUAGUCAGCUUGUGUCGUGAGAUGUUGGGUUAAGUCAAGCAACGAGCGCAUCCCUUGUAUUUAGUUGCUUCGAAAGGGCACUUUAGAGAGACUGCCGGUGACAAACCGGAGGAAGGUGGGGAUGACGUCAAGUCCUCAUGGCCCUUAUGGGUAGGGCUUCACACGUCAUACAAUGGUGGAUACAGAGGGUUGCCAACCCGCGAGGUGGAGCUAAUCCCAGAAAACCCGUCGUAGUCCGGAUCGUAGUCUGCAACUCGACUGCGUAAGUCGGAAUCGCUAGAAUCGCGGAU
rnacentral:rRNA from 1 species